UUCCUUUGUUUAAACUUGAUAAAUAGUCAGUAAUGAGUUUGAGAAGCUUGAAAGGUAAAAUCAAUGAGAUAACAGUAUUCUGUAUAAUUCACUGCAGGCCCCCAAACCGUCCGCUCACAUUGUGGGAGCUCAUUUAGAAGUAGUCCACUAUCCAGUCAACACAGUGAUCACCGACUGGUCAACCAGUGACAGUCGUAGUCAUCUUGCAGGUGGCAUGACGUACCGUGACGGAAAGUUGACAGUGCCCAGGGCUGCAAAGUACUACAUCUAUGCACAGCUCUACUUCAGGAGCCUCGGGAGAGUGUUUUUUGUUGUGAAUGACGAUAACGCCGUUACCUUGCUUCAGCGAUCGGAAACUGGGCGAGCGGAAGGCCCAAGGAACGCUUUCGGUGUAUUUGACCUUAAAGCUGGUGACACCAUCUCGCUGAAGAUCAAUUCGUGGGGAGCGCCGCAGAAUGGCGUCGAAUUUUGGUUCAAUGGCUACCACGAUUACUUCGGUGCAUUCUUGAUUUGAGCCUAUCACGGCUAACAGUUUAGCGUGUUGCCACGUCUCCUGUCCAAAUUAGUGAAAAGGUCAUUAAAUAAAAGAAACAGACUAGA